rnacentral:rRNA from 1 species
UACGGAGGGUGCGAGCGUUGUCCGGAAUCACUGGGUUUAAAGGGUGCGUAGGUGGAGUGGUAAGUCAGUGGUGAAAUCUCCAAGCUUAACUUGGAACUGCCGUUGAUACUAUCAUUCUUGAAUAUCGUGGAGGUAAGCGGAAUAUGUCAUGUAGCGGUGAAAUGCUUAGAUAUGACAUAGAACACCGAUUGCGAAGGCAGCUUGCUACACGAUCAUUGACACUGAGGCACGAAAGCGUGGGGAUCAAACAGG